rnacentral:tRNA from 1 species
AAGACACUAGUAUAUUUGACAAUACGCUGCCUUGUCAAGGCAAAGCUGCAGGUUAAACUCCUGCGUGUCUUA